AUGCGGCUCCCUGCUCAGCUCCUGGGGCUGCUGGUGCUCUGGGUCCCUGGAUCCAGUGGUGAUGUUGUGAUGACCCAGACUCCCCUGUCCCUGCCUGUCACCCCUGGAGAGUUGGCCUCUAUCUCUUGCAGGGCCAGUGAGAGUAUCCAAGACAGUGAUGGAAACACCUAUUUGAAUUGGGUCCUGCAAAAGCCAGGCCAACCACCAAAACGCCUGAUUUAUAAGGUUUCCAACGGGGACAAUGGGGUCUCAGACAGGUUUAGUGGCAGUGGGUCAGGGACAGAUUUCACACUGAAAAUCAGCAGGGUGGAGGCUGAGGAUGUGGGAGUGUAUUACUGUGCUCAAAGUACAAAGAUUCAUCACACAGUGGUACAGCCCCGAACACAAACCUCCAUGCUUGGGGUGGCCCAGCUGCCCAAAUGUGUUGCCUGCUGA